rnacentral:lncRNA from 1 species
GAUUAUAUAAUAUCUCAUGCAACUGAGUUUCAAUAAUUAACUUUUGUAUAUACUAAAAUAUACAUAGCAUAUUUUUUAUAUCUACAAGUUUCGCUCUUUUUUAUCUAAGUUCACGGAAACCGACUCGGCCUCUGGUGCCGCCAAAGCCGCCGGUGCCGCUGGUGCCGCCGGUGCCGCCGUGCUCGCCGUGGGGGCUGAUCGCGGGCCAGCAGAGCCCGCCAGGCUCACGGCCGCACUCUCCCGGUUCGCCAGGCUCGCCCGGUUGGCCAAGCUCGCUCGGUUGUCCUCCGCUGCCACCGCGUCCUCCCCUACCCCUGCCGCCGCGUCCUCGCCUUCCUCCCCCACCGCGUCCUCCCCUACCCCGCCGCGGCCUCCCGUGCCGAGGGGCCCUGUCGAUUGGCCGAUGUUGUCUGGCAUUUUGGUGGGUGGGG